GAGAAAAGAAGAGAAUGGACUGGGGCACUAGCAUUGAGAAUGUUUUAUUUCCUUAGUUGGGUGGUAGGCUCAGAGGUAUUUGUUUUAUUAUUUUGCUUCAUAACUCACUUGUAUGUUACAUGUAGUUUCCUAUAUACAUUAAAUAUUACACUUUUUUUAGAAAUAAAAAGGAAACUAAACUAGGUACUCAAAGACCACCUCUCCCCACAAGGGCUGGCCUUAUGAUGGAGUUCAACAAACCUUCAAGAAGAUGAUGAUUCUUCUGCUUUUCAAACUGUUUCAAAGCAUGCUAAAAGACAAGACACUUUUGAAUUUCACAAAACUAGCAAAAUCCUUGUCUAGCACAAUAAAAGAGAGCCAUGAACAAGAGCACUCAUUGAAAAAAAAAGCCCAAAAAUUCAAAAUAAAAUAUUCACAAAUCAAAUCCACUAGUGAAUUUAAUGAAUAAAUCACCACGAUUAAGAUAGAUAGUUCCAAGAAUGUAAAGAGAAUCCAACAUUAAGAAAUGUAUUAAUAUAGUUCACUUUUUAAGUAGAUUAAAGGAGAAUACCACAUCAGCACCUCAUGAAGGUAAACAACGCUUAACCAAACUCAACAACAUUCCUGAUAAAAACGUAGAAGGGAAGCUGUCACUGGAUAAAACUGAUCCACCUACAACAUCUGGCAGGCCUCACACUUAGUGAUGAAAUAUUAGCUUUCCCAUUUAAGUGUGAAAGACGAGAAUGUUCACUUUCAUUGCUCUGAUUUAACACUGUAUACUGGAAGGCCUAGCAAUUGAAUGAAGACAAGAAGUAGAGAUAAGAGGUACCAGGUAUCAGAAAAGCAGCAGCAGAAUUGCCAUUAUUUGCAAGUUGUAGGCACAUUCACACAUACAUAUGUAGGCAUAUACGAACACACACAGAGACACAUAAUACACACCCUUAUGCUUAUAAAUGUGUAGGAAUGGGUCCGGAAGAACAAAUGCCAAACUGUUAACAAUGGUUUCAUCUGGGGAGGAAGGAAGGAUUGGGAAGGGAGUGAGGGUAAAGAGGAACCUUUAACUUAUGCUUCGCAUUUCUUGAAUUUGUUUUUAUAACAAUAGCUUUCCUAAUUUAAAAGAAAAUUCAAAAUGUUGAAAGUCAUACGGCUGGACGUGGUAGACCCAAGGCUCAAACUCAGGUGUUUCAUUGCCAAGUUAGUUCCACACGGUUGGUUUUUCAUUUUAGAUAUCAGAAAGCUGGAGAAAGGUUGAGCCACUGAGAACUGUGCACAAAGAAUCAGUAAUUAUGGGCAUUACACUGAUACUUCAUUUCUAUUUGCCACAAAUAACCCUCCAGGGACUAAUAAUAAUGGCUAGCUUUUUAUAAAGGCUAUCACUGCUUACAAAGCAACUCUACAGGGCUGCCUGGGUGGCUCAGUAGGUUGAGUGUCUGAUGCUGAGUCUCAGCUCAGUUCACGAUCUCACACUUUGUAAGAUUGAGCCCUGCGCUGGGCUCUGCGCUGACAGCAUGGAGGCUGCUUGGGAUUGUCUCCCUCUCUCUUCCUCUGACCCUCUGUCUCACUCACAUGCUCUCUCUCUCUAAAAUUGAAACAAACAAAGCAACUCUACAUUCAUUAUUUAAAUUAUUUUAAUCCUUAAAAAGUAAUUUCAAUAAUCCAUGAACAUGAAAAUGUCCCACAGUGUAAUCUAAAUGACAUGUCGUUAAAGAUAAGAUUCUUAUUAAGACUGUAGAUACGUGGGGGUGCCUGGGUGGCUGGUUAAAUGUCUGACCCUUGAUUUCCACUCAGGUCAUGAUCUCAUGGUCAUGAGAUCAAGUCCUGUGUAGGGCUCUGCACUGGGUGCAGAUCCUGCUUACGAUUCUUUCUCUCCUUUUCUCUCUGCCCCUUUCUCGCUCCUGCUCUCUCUCUCUCUCUCUCUCUCAAAACAAAAACAAAAACAAAAAAACAACAAAGACUGCAGAUAUGUCAUUUCUGGAACUUUCAAAAGCACACAGGAAACUCCAACCCUAGGGAUCCAGGUAACUGAUAAACCUUCUCCCACCACAUUCCCUCACAGUGUAUGCUUCUGUAAUCUGAACAAAGCUUUGUUUCCAGAAUAUGUCAUGCUCUUUCUUAUUUCUGGGGCUCUGUAGAUGCUUUCCUUCUUCCUGGAAUGUCCUCCCUCCCUCUUUUUCCACUUAAAAUGCCUACUCAUGGGGCGCCUGGGUGGCUCAGUCGGUUGAGCAUCUGACUUUGGCUCAGGUCAUGAUCUUGUGUCCGUGGGUUCAAGCCCUGCAUCUGGCCCUGUGCUGACAGGUCAGAGCCUGGAUCCUGCUUCGGAUUCUGUGUCUCCCAGUCUCUCUGCCUGUCCCCAGCUCACACUCUGUCUCUCUCUAUCUCUCAAAAAAAAAAAAAAAAAAAAAAAUGGCUACUCAUCUGUGCAGAAAAGAGUUAACAUAGCAGACCUGAGUGCUCUCCUUUAAAAAGAUCUGCUUAUGAGGUUGGUCACUGACUGAUGUUUGGAAAUGGAUUUGGGGAGGGUUCCCACCACUCCCAGAGCUGGUAAAAGUGGCUAACUGUGCAUAUACUGUACUAAUAAUAAGGGUUUAUGCUGAACACCGUAUCUAGCAAUCUGGACUGUUGGUACAUGGCAGGCAAAGGGUGCUUAUGUGGCCAGUCCCCCCAAAACCCCUAAGUGCUGGGUCUCUAAUAAGCAUACCUAAUUGACAGUAUUUCACAUGUAUUGUCACAACUCACUGUGAGGGGAAUCAAGUGUGUCCUGUGCGACUCCACUGGGAUAGGACCCUUGGAAUGUUGCCUGGUUUCCUCUAGACUUUACCCAUGGAGUUUGCUCUUUAUCCCCGCCCUAGAGUGGAUCAUAGCUGUAAGUGCAACCACACGCUGAGUCGCUGAAUCGCCGUUAAUCACUGAACUUGGGGAUUGUCUUGAAGGCCCCCUAAUACACAGCCCUCCAAGCCUCAGUACAAACACGACAUUGCAGAGUUUCUCUUCCCUUUGUUAGGCAGGUUGCAUUGCUUCUUUACCCCUUUGCCUCUGCUCUUGCAAUUAAACAGAAUUUCAUAUUGCAUGAUCAUUAACUGUUUGCACUCUGGGCCCUUUUAAAAGUGUAAGCUCAUCAAAGACCUUAUCUUUUCCUUCUUUCCUCGGCAUCCAGGGGGCACAUCCUGGCAGCACCUGGAGAGUAACUGUAGUGACAGCCAAUCAGUGCUGUUGACUAUGUGCCCAACACUGUAACUAGGAGCUCUGCACAUUCUAUCACAUUUAGCCCUUCCAACCACCCCUUAAAGGAGCUACUAUUAUAAUUCUCAUUGUAAAAAUAAAAAAAAAAAAAAACAACACAGAGGUUCUAAGUUAAAUGAAUGAAUGAACCACCCAAAGAAUAUAUCAUUCUAGCCCUUAAGGAAUCACUUUGCCACAUGGCAUUCUAGUGCUAUGGCUAUUAAUUCACAUGCACUGUGUGCUAUGAGCUUCGCCGGUGGUGUUAUCUAUUACAUCAUGUGUUAUAUGCAGUACGAAGUAUUUUUUUUUAUUAUAGCGUAUAUUUUGUUAUUAUUGUUUACUGGCUAAGACAGGUCUGUCAUACACAGUUCAAAAGGUACACAGGUGUACAGGGCAGUGGAAGUCUCUCACCUGCCUCCACCCCCAGCCACCCCCUUUUCUCUCCUUUGCUGUAUAUCCUUCCAGAGGGGGGAUGAACAAGUAUGUUAACGCCUUUUACACAAAGAGUAGCAUCUCAUACAUGUUGCUCUGCAACUUGCUCCUCUUACCUGACAAGAAAGACAUCCUGGUGGUCAUUUCCUAUCAGUACAUAUAGAACUGCAUCAUUCUCGGGGCGCCUGGGUGGCUCAGUCGGUUAAGCGUCCGACUUCGGCUCAGGUCAUGAUCUCGCAGUUCGUGAGUUCAAGCCCCGCGUCAGGCUCUGUGCUGAUGGCUCAGAGCCUGGACCCUGCUUCAGAUUCUGUGUCUCCCUCUCUCUGACCCUCCCCCGUUCAUGCUUUGUCUCUCUCUGUCUCAAAAAUAAAUAAACGUUAAAAAAAAAAUUAAAAAAAAAAAAGAACUGCAUCGUUCUCUUUGAUCACCUGCCUUGUGUCUCUUAUUGAGGGACAUUUAGGUUUUUGCAACAGACGGAUAAUGAAAAGUGGUUCAGAGAGCAUUCUGCACACUUAGAGUGGAUUUACAUAGUGACGUAUUAGAAAUGGAAAAGCUGGGUCAAAGGGCUAUUUAUCGUUUAUUUUUAAUGUAAAAAAUCGACUUUAGAGUUUUAAUUUAAAUUAUGGUUCGUUAACAUGCAGUGUAACCAUAAGUGUGCAAUACGGUGGUUCAACACUUACAUACACCACAACAGAAAUUAUUCAUAAAGCAUAACAUUUGCUUUUUUGAAAGGUAUAAUUCAGUGUUUUUUUUUUAGUACAGCCACAAGAUUGGGCACCCCUCCCCACUAUUUAAUUCCAAAAUAUUUUCAUUGCUACAAAGAGAAACCCUGUCCCCAUUGUAUUUAAUUUUAAUUUUUAAUUUUGAUAGGUUUUGCCAAAUUGCUUCAUCAAAAUUUAAAAAAAAAAACAAAAAACAUUUUUGGCCCACUUCUAGAACUGUGUCAGUUUCUAAGUUGCCUUUCCUUCCCCCUCCUCACAUACAACAGUAUCUCACUGGUCUUAUCUGAGGAGGUUAAGUCCAAAUUCAGGAAAGACAAGGCACACUCCCACCCCCACACACCAUUCUGCUGCGUCCUGCAAAGAAACUGGAUCCCGGCAUGUUUCGCACACGGACAAAAGCCCCAAAAGUCCAGCUUGACUUCAUGGCCCUUUACAUUCCUUAGGGAAUGCGUGCAAUCUCUACCAGUGAACGGGGCCACUCUCCUAAUUCUGACAAGACCAACAGCAUUCUAGUGACCUCAAUGUUUUUACAAGGUCCUAAGAACCUAAAUGCUCCUGCCACCGGAAAAUCAAGGAAGGAACAGGCCUUCCCUGUGUUUGUUCUCAAACCCAUGCACCAACCGCAGACCAGGUUGUUUGUCCUUGGCUCACAGUUACCGGUGCCGACAGUGUCAGCGACAGGACCCCAGAUAAGGCUUGCUUGGCAUAAGGCCCCCUCCUCCCACCACCUGCCAGCCCCUGCUUAUCUGGGAAACCGACCCUGAGCUGCUACCCAGAGUCCGCUGCUUGGCCUCCAGCCCCACGCUGAGCCACACCAGCUAAACAACACUGGGAGCACAAUGCUUUCUUCCCCCUUUUUUCCUUUUCCUCAUGCGUUUUUAUGAACAUCCACAGGGAAGAUAAUUAAAACCUGCAAGGAAACCAGCUGGCAGCGAAAAAGAAAAUCUUGGUGACUUGGGGACGACGCCACAUGUUUAUGGGAGCACAGCAGUCAUGUCGCCGAGGCUCUGCACCGGUGUGUGCACGGGUGUAGGUGCACACACACUCAGAAGAGGGACAACAGGGGAAGAGGAAGAGGCACAUGAGGGUCUUUAUUUAGCAAAGCGGAACAGAACAAAGGAGCGGGAGAGUGGCACCGCGUCACCUCUGAUUGGGUUUUCUGGCUACUAAGCGCAUAGACCUUAACUCGAAAGACAGAACUUCUGCCUUCCUCUCCCGAGUGCUGAGUGUUGUCUGAACGGCAUCAAGAUUUGGGGGAGCCAGUGUAAUCCCCUUUCAUUUUUCAUCUGCCUUGCUGACUGCAAAGAGAAACAGGGCCGCUCGCCUCCCCGCGUGUGACACCGGGCUUGAGGCACGCACAUUCCAGAGUGGCCUUCCCCAGGAGCCAGCUGUGUGCAGGAGGAGAAACGUGCACGCUGCAGGCAUCUGUCACCAAGGCCAUGCCAACUCCCCAGUGGGGCAACUGUACAGACAACCUCAGAAUGAGAUUUUAGAAAUGAUGGGAUUCUCCAAGAAGAAAAGAAGUCUUUCUGGAAGAAAAGGCAGAGCAAGCCUAAAAAAGCA